rnacentral:piRNA from 1 species
UGACAGAAAUUAGAAGGAGACUGGGGUCU